UCCUCGGUAGCUCAGUUGGUGAGAGGACUGAGCUGGUGAUUCGGAGGUCCCGGGUUCGAGUCCCGCUCGAGGAG